rnacentral:rRNA from 1 species
GACGAACGCUGGCGGCGUGCUUAACACAUGCAAGUCGAGCGGAAAGGCCACUUCGGUGGUACUCGAGCGGCGAACGGGUGAGUAACACGUGAGUAAUCUGCCCUUGGCUUUGGGAUAGCCACCGGAAACGGUGAUUAAUACCGGAUAUGACCACUUCUCGCAUGGGAUGGUGGUGGAAAGUUUUUCGGCCAGGGAUGUGCUCGCGGCCUAUCAGCUUGAUGGUGAGGUAAUGGCUCACCAUGGCUUCGACGGGUAGCCGGCCUGAGAGGGUGACCGGUCACACUGGGACUGAGACACGGCCCAGACUCCUACGGGAGGCAGCAGUGGGGAAUAUUGGACAAUGGGCGGAAGCCUGAUCCAGCAACGCCGCGUGAGGGAUGACGGCCUUCGGGUUGUAAACCUCUUUCGCCUAUGACGAAGCGCAAGUGACGGUAAUAGGUAAAGAAGCACCGGCCAACUACGUGCCAGCAGCCGCCGCGGUAA